GACGAACGCUGGCGGCGUGCUUAACACAUGCAAGUCGAACGAUGAAGCCCAGCUUGCUGGGUGGAAGAGUGGCGAACGGGUGAGUAACACGUGAGUAACCUGCCCCUGACUCUGGGAUAAGCGCUAGAAAUGGCGUCUAAUACUGGAUAUGACCUAUCACCGCAUGGUGUGUAGGUGGAAAGAUUUAUCGGUUGGGGAUGGACUCGCGGCCUAUCAGCUUGUUGGUGAGGUAAUGGCUCACCAAGGCGACGACGGGUAGCCGGCCUGAGAGGGUAACCGGACACACUGGGACUGAGACACGGCCCAGACUCCUACGGGAGGCAGCAGUGGGGAAUAUUGCACAAUGGGCGCAAGCCUGAUGCAGCAACGCCGCGUGAGGGAUGACGGCCUUCGGGUUGUAAACCUCUUUUAGUAGGGAAGAAGCGCAAGUGACGGUACCUGCAGAAAAAGCACCGGCUAACUACGUGCCAGCAGCCGCAGUAA
rnacentral:rRNA from 1 species